CUCCUACGGGUGGCUGCAGUGGGGAAUUUUGGACAAUGGGCGCAAGCCUGAUCCAGCAAUGCCGCGUGCAGGAUGAAGGCCUUCGGGUUGUAAACUGCUUUUGUACGGAGCGAAACGGCUUUCUCUAAUACAGGAGGCUAAUGACGGUACCGUAAGAAUAAGCACCGGCUAACUACGUGCCAGCAGCCGCGGUAAUACGUAGGGUGCGAGCGUUAAUCGGAAUUACUGGGCGUAAAGCGUGCGCAGGCGGUUUUGUAAGACAGAUGUGAAAUCCCCGGGCUCAACCUGGGACCUGCAUUUGUGACUGCAAGGCUGGAGUGCGGCAGAGGGGGAUGGAAUUCCGCGUGUAGCAGUGAAAUGCGUAGAUAUGCGGAGGAACACCGAUGGCGAAGGCAAUCCCCUGGGCCUGCACUGACGCUCAUGCACGAAAGCGUGGGGAGCAAACAGGAUUAGAUACCCUGGUAGUCCACGCCCUAAACGAUGUCAACUGGUUGUUGGGUCUUCACUGACUCAGUAACGAAGCUAACGCGUGAAGUGACCGC
rnacentral:rRNA from 1 species